UACGGAGGGUGCGAGCGUUGUCCGGAAUCAUUGGGCGUAAAGCGCACGUAGGCGGUCCGUUAAGUCUCUUGGCGAAAGGCUGGGGCUCAACCCUAUGCAUGCCGGGGAUAGUGGGGGACUGGAGACAGGUAGAGGCGAGCGGAAUUCCGGGUGUAGCGGUGGAAUGCGUAGAGAUCCGGAAGAACACCGGAGGCGAAGGCGGCUCGCUGGACCUGAUCUGACGCUGAGGUGCGAAAGCGUGGGGAGCGAACAGG
rnacentral:rRNA from 1 species